rnacentral:rRNA from 1 species
GGUAUAGACCCGAAACCCGGUGAUCUAGCCAUGGGCAGGUUGAAGGUUGGGUAACACUAACUGGAGGACCGAACCGACUAAUGUUGAAAAAUUAGCGGAUGACUUGUGGCUGGGGGUGAAAGGCCAAUCAAACCGGGAGAUAGCUGGUUCUCCCCGAAAGCUAUUUAGGUAGCGCCUCGUGAAUUCAUCUCCGGGGGUAGAGCACUGUUUCGGCAAGGGGGUCAUCCCGACUUACCAACCCGAUGCAAACUGCGAAUACCGGAGAAUGUUAUCACGGGAGACACACGGCGGGUGCUAACGUCCGUCGUGAAGAGGGAAACAACCCAGACCGCCAGCUAAGGUCCCAAAGUCAUGGUUAAGUGGGAAACGAUGUGGGAAGGCCCAGACAGCCAGGAUGUUGGCUUAGAAGCAGCCAUCAUUUAAAGAAAGCGUAAUAGCUCACUGGUCGAGUCGGCCUGCGCGGAAGAUGUAACGGGGCUAAACCAUGCACCGAAGCUGCGGCAGCGACACUAUGUGUUGUUGGGUAGGGGAGCGUUCUGUAAGCCUGUGAAGGUGGCCUGUGAGGGUGGCUGGAGGUAUCAGAAGUGCGAAUGCUGACAUAAGUAACGAUAAAGCGGGUGAAAAGCCCGCUCGCCGGAAGACCAAGGGUUCCUGUCCAACGUUAAUCGGGGCAGGGUGAGUCGACCCCUAAGGCGAGGCCGAAAGGCGUAGUCGAUGGGAAACAGGUUAAUAUUCCUGU